GCCUCCUCCCCAAUCGAAGAGACGCGUAGGGUUCGACCUCUCCUCGCUUCUCUCCCGCAUCUCUCUCUCUCUCUCUCUCUUUCUCUCUCUCUCUCUCUCUCUCUCUCUCGCAGUCGUCGCCGCCAGCCAUCCUCCCCAUCGCCCCCUUCGCCCCGUCAUCUCCCACUCGCUCCACCCCUCUCGCAGUCGUCGCCGCUAGCCAUCUCGUAGGAUGGAGACGCUGGCCGCCUCCAUCUCCUCUCUGUCGCCGUCUGAGCCAGAUGCGGCCGCAGUCUGCCGGCGCCGCGGGCGGAGGAGACGCGCCUAGGUGGAGCCUUCUUCAUCACACGCGGCAGCCGGCGUAGCUCUGCCUCCCACACCCCCAUCAUCUCCGCCACACCCCGUCGCCGUACACGGAGGGGGAGGAGUGGUGGCCGGCAGAGAUCUGCCUCCUUCAUCCAGGUCACGAUGGAGAAGGAGCGGUUGGAGGUGGUGGCUGGUAGAUCUGGCCGCAGCCGACUCCGACGCUGGCUGGCCCAUCGCUCAAGCAACCUUGUAGGAGGAGUCCGGACCACCGCAGCACUGCACAAGAUGGUAUUCCACGAGGACGUCAAGCCGAGAUGGGCUGCUGCUCCCUCCACGGCGAGUCAGAGACUGACACCACGAGCUCGAGCACUAUGGCUGCCACUCCCUCCAUGGCCGAAUCAGAGUCAAAAAAGGGGGCUAGGGACUCUUGGCUUAUCUCUCCUUUCUUUGCCUUGCUGCUGACUUUUAUGGCACCUCCAACCAGCAGCACUACGAGUUGCAAAGUAGCAGUGUGCCUCCAGUUAGCAUUGGACAGAUGGGCGAAGAUGUCGAGACCGCGCUCUGUGUCCUAGGCAUCGUUACUGCCGCCUCUUCUCCACCCCCUAUGGUGCUCUUCGCCGGCGUUUUCUUUUUCUUGAACAGAUUGUAAACCCUAUAUAUCAUGUUUGUUGUCUUUAAGGAUGGCUUGGUUGAUGCAAUUCCUGUAUCACUCACAGAUCAACUAGAGGAAGAAAUUGAUCCCUGAGGGAGACUGGCAAAUCUUGGAAUUCAGGCUGCAAACCUUCAAGUAGGUUUGGUAAUGAACUUUUCCUUUCCUUAGCACUUCAUUUACCCCUUGUUUUUAGUUGCUAUACUAUAAUGUUAAUUUUUUCCAGUAGCGCUUUGCCUUAUCUAAUUGUUUGAGCACGCUUAGGGCAUUUAUCUUGUGAUCUUAGGCCACAUCUGAAGAAAAACAUAGGCACUAUUUUGAUUUCCAGCGUAGAAGUGGCCAGUUGCCUUUAUGGAAGGAGGUCAGUAGAAAGCAUACCAUAUGUAACAGGGCGAGUAAGUUGAUUACAAGGUGUUCUUCAUGAUGAUGGUUCUGUUCUGAUUUCAGUUUACUUGGAUCAAUUGAAAGUAACCUCCAUUUUUUUACCCCUUUUUUGUGGCUUGUAUUGAUAUUUUCCUUGUGUGACCCCACCAAAAGAUAUCUCGAUACGGCUAUUUUCUAAUCUAAACACGUAUGGCUUUCAGCAGUCUCUUAAUUUUCAUACGUUUAGCAAGAAUGCUACUUUGUUACUUGGGUUGAUAAAAUAGCUACAGCACAUUGAGGCAAAAGGCAAAUGUGCAUGCUCCUUAUUGCUUAUCAUGAAUAAUAAAUUUGAAAUUAGUCUCAUGUAAAUUUAGUUCUUUCUAUGCUAUGAAUUUGAUGUAUAAAUCUAUAUCUUCGUGUAUAAAUUCAGAGGUUGCGGUACAAAUUAGACUCAGUACAAACAAUUGCUCAUGGAGCAUGUUAAGUUUUUCAAUUUCAAAGUUAGAUUUAUAUACACCUAUGUCCUGUUCAAUCAUAUUUGCUUACUGGUUUAGUGUAAAAAGAUCAAGGUAUGUCCAUUUGUCAUUCUGGAAGUGAUAUAUACUUUUUAGUAGUAUUCAGGUAUACCAUAAAGGUCUUAAUUAAUUUUGGGUACUCAGGAUUAUGAACCUUCUGUUUCCAAUCUGGGUGCCUAGCUAGGACCACCAUGCUCGAAAAGGUGAACGACAGCAAUUUUCCGAUGCAGUCGGCCGACGGAGGAGCCGCUGGCGCCUAUGGUGGAGGUGAAUGCGGACGGCAAAAUCUGUGCGGCGGAAGGGGCGGCGGAUGCAGGCCGAGAAGGGUCGCCGAGAGAGUCGGAGCACUCCAUUGGACAGAUCGAACCUAGAGCUCCGAAAACGAAGAAUGAGGGUAGGUGCUGCUCCGCCGGAAAAGACGCCAUGUCCUAAUCGGACUACUGCUCUGGAGAAGACUAUUUGUGGUUUUGCCGACAAUGCUGGGGACAAUGUCAUAGUGGCAACUUUGGGUGCAAGCUUUGAUUCUCUUGAUGAAGCCUACUACUUCUACACUUUUAUUCAUGGGAGAAAGGAUUUGACAUUAGAUACGUCAAGAGUAGGCUAAAUGUGGAGAGGACAAAAUGCAUGCAGGAGAUUGUUUGUGGUUGUGCGGUAUGGGGGAAGGCGGGGGUUGAGAACAGAGGAUCGUGCCAUUGUGAAUGCCAUGCUCUCAUCAGGUUGUUGCGGUCCAAGGCCAAUGACUGGUACAUAGCAGAAUACCGUGAGGAGCACAACCGCUUGGACUGGAAGACAUGAUUGCCAAAAAUGGUGGUGUCAUGUACCAAAUUCAGACUGAAGGGGCACUUGUUGCAACGAUGAUGUUAAUUCAGCAAAUGACUCUGGGAACUGAAUUGCAGGACCAUUGCCACCGGCAAAUUAAAAGGAAGGAGAUGGGCAGGUCUACGACCAACAGAGAGAAAGUGACUUACUAUGGCCUGAGCAAGAAGACCACAUUCUGCACCAUUUUCCGGCGACAGGGGCACGAAGGGACUAUGUGCCCAGACUGCGGAGAUGUACCAAAGCAGGCUAGGAGACGUGCUCGAUGCAAGAACUGUGGAGUCAAAGUUCACUGCCGGAACAAUUGCAACAAUGCAGCGGAGCUACGUCUGAAAGUGAGUUGACUGAAAAAUUAGGGAUGUACCUAAGACAGUACUUGCAUGGUUAGGAUAAAUGGUGUAUGCGCAUGACAAUUUCCAGAUAGUGUGGACUGAUUUGUUGUAGCCUGUCUCAUGGUGAAGAUUUAAAAUUUCCGUUGCAUCUGUUGAUCCACAACUGUGUCUUGAUGUAUUACUUGAUACUUCCUGUGUGGAACUUGUCUGAAUAAAUAGUUUGGUGGCUGAAUAACUGUACUGAAUCUGUUGUGAGUUGGGCUGGGUUUUGAUCUUGAGAAUUA